AUGUGGGAUGAGGCUCUUAGCCACUAUGCUAACACUGUGGUAGCAAUGUUAGAUAAGGCUGGUUAUAAUGUGGGAUGAGCCUCUUAGCCACUAUGCUAACACUGUAGUAGCAAUGUUAGAUAAGGCUGGUUAUAAUGUGGGAUGAGCCUCUUAGCCACUAUGCUAACACUGUAGUAGCAAUGUUAGAAGAUGCAGGUUAUAAUUAUGUGGGAUGAGGCUCUUAGCCACUAUGCUAACACUGUGGUAGCAAUGUUAGAUGAUACAGGUUGUAAUAAUGUGUAAUGAGGCUCUUAGCCACUAUGCUAACACUGUGGUAGCAAUGUUAGAUAAGGCUGGUUAUAAUUAUGUGGAAUGAGGCUCUUAGCCACUAUGCUAACACUGUGGUAGCGAUGCUGGAUGAGUCACAUGCCAUCCGUUAGACUCUCUGGUCUAAAGUCUUUAUCUUUAGAGAGAGCAAGAGCUGUGAGUCAUCAGGAUAAGUGAUGAGGUGUUUUAAGAUAUAUUUAAGUGAUGAGUGAAUGGUUAUAAGAGGUUAUAUCUAUAUGUGGGAUUAUAAAUGUAGCUGGUGUUAAAGUUAGCUGGGCGUGCGGUGGUGUGUGUGUGGUUUAUUCAGGGUAUUUCUGAGGAAAUGCGAUGCAAAGUUGGUGGUAUUUCACUGAAUUUGGCUGAAUUUGGCUUUUACACAGUUUACUUACUGAAUAAAAUGAGCAGCAGUGAUGCAUGAUGGGUAAUGGAGUUUAUUUGCUUAACUGUGUCUGAUGAUAAUGUACAGAAUCUACUAUAAAGAAUAAAAAGAUGCUUUUUUU